GAGGCGAUGAGCUGUCCGUCCGUCCGUCCGUCCCCUGCCGGCCCGAGAGGGAAACUGAGGCACGGCCGAGUAGGAGCUGGAGGGGCGUGAGGGACUGCAUCUUCCAUGUUUAACUCCCGAUACUGUGUGAAGAACCUUUCAUUUGUGAUACAGUAUAAUAAAAUCUCCAGAGGUUUUCCUUCAUGUGCUGAAUCUAGUCUCUAGGAAGGCUGUGUACUUGCAUGGUCAGAUGUAAAUAAAUUAAAUUACUUCCUAAAACUCCAUUGCCAGGAUUUUCAGGAAAGAUUUCACUGAGGCUUUUUAGUCACAAGGAGUUAGAAAGAAGUUAACAUGUUGUCAGAAUUUGAAAGAAAACCAAUAGCAGACUGCCUGCCUUUUUUGUUAAAUACAAUAUUGUUUCAAGACCAUAUAGAUUAAAACUGGUGUUUCUUCUGCAUUGCAUUCUGAUUCCCUUGCUUAAUUUAAUUUUGAAAAUAUUGAACACUUAAAAUCAUUGUGACCUGUACCGUGGUAGUUUUUUCUCUGAAAAUAACAUGUUGCUGUGUUAGUGCCUGAAUGCUGUAAUCUCAUCAGAACGUUUGCACAAUAGGUCUGAAUCAUGCUGGAGUGGCAUCAAUGAAGUGCCUUUUUCUAGUUCAGUGAGAAACUUCUGCAGCUUGGAAUGGAACAGAGAUGCAAUAACUCUGGAAAAAAAAGCGUGGGAGGAUAAAAGCAAAAGACCAAGCCCUGUGAUGCAGCAUGAGGAGAAUCUGUCUAAGAACACUUGGAAAGGAAGGCUAAAUAGAGUUCAUUUGGCUCACAGAAGUGUCCUGAUGAGUGCCAAAAUCAGCGCAGGCCAGUCAGGAGUGCAUAGCUGGGAGCAAAGUUCUGGGAUAUAUAGGGAAUGUCACUUUCUCAGCAACCAUGAGCUGAGGCCAACUUACUUUAUCUUCUGGAACUCGGCCAUUGAGGUAAGUUGAUCAGCUCUUCAAGAAACGAAAUUGUGAAAUUCCUCUCUAUUCCUACAGUGAAAGAGUAGGCAAUUAAUGAAGAAACAUGUUGAUGAUGAUUCAUGUUAAUACAACUCAUCCUCAUGGGAUCAAUCUGGCAGCUCACACCUCUGAGAGCAGAUCAGAUUCUUUGCAAAACAUGCAAACUCUGGCAGAUUCCUGCACUGACUGAGUUGCAGCUGAUUCAUCCUUUGGCUUAGGAUAUAGUUUCACUGAGAUCUGGCUCUAUGGUGAGCAGUCCAGGGAGUUAAACCACAAGAAAACUCUAUUUUUUGCUACUAGCUUUCUGUUCACUAAAUUCCUUGAAUCAAACUGGCACCCAUGUUUGUAGAAGUGAAGCAGCAGAAGGAAGACUACAGGCAGAAGAAGGAAGCAGAAUUGUUUUUUCAACCAGGUGCUAAACCUUCCAUCCACCUUGCAGCACUGUGAAACUGAGCCUUUAGGAUGUGGCUUGACAGUUGAUUUUCAACUUUUGACAAAAGAAUUGGUCCUACUAUUUCCCUGAUAUCAGCCUUAUUAAAACAAAUCCUGCUCAGAAUUACUUAUUUGAAUAUAUAGUCAUGGGGUUACUAGCAUCCACACGAGGAAGAUAAAUGACAUUAGCAGUUGAAAUGUGAGUUGGCUUUCUUAUGUAGCUUGGGAUGGGGCCCCAAAUGGAGUGUUAUUAAUGAGCUAGUGAGGACUACAUGCAGCUCUCUGCUCAUUGUCUGCUAACAGCAAUUUAAGUCUUGACUGGAGCCUCUUUCCUUUGAUAUUCCACUAUCAUUGAUUUUCCUUUGAACACUGAGUCAUUUACUCUACUCUUCCCCCUGUUAAAGGAUGA